CUAAAUUUCAUAAUUUUUCGAUAUCAUUUACCUAUCAAACAAAUAGUUUAAAAUUGAACGGCUGAAAAUAAAAAUCUCAUAAAAAAUGAUGAUAAAAGAUUUAAAUUCAAAAUCAGAUAUACUGAUCUUACUCUAAAUAAUGAAAAGAAUUUUCUAUAAAAUUUUCAUCGGAUUUGGAUUGUUUUACACCGUUAAACUCACAAACACGCCACAUCGGCCAUUAAAAUGGUCAACUUUGAGAUCUUUUGAUCACUAGUCAAAUAAUGUCGAAAAAUUAUGAAAUUUAGUUUGCAAAUACUUUUUAUAGUGUAGAUCAAGUCUAACGGAGCCGAUCGUCGAUUUGGAAGCCGCAUCAUUGAAAACAACUUGGUAGCAUGGGAGGCCCCGUGCUACCGAUAGUAUAGAUUAUUUUUAGAGACGGAGUUGGUGGAAAAAAAAAAAUUAACGUUAACAUAUUACGGGAAUAAGUUCUUACUAUUCGAAAAUUUUCAUAGUGGGGAACCACGAAGAUUUUCAUAAGAUGGAAUAAAUAUAUAUAUAUAUAUAUAUAUAUUAUUUGGUGGUGGUAGAGUUGGGAUGAAGAAAGGUAAGUUACCGAUUUUUGAGUUUUUAUGGUGGGGAACCACGAAAACUCCCAUAAGAUCGAGUUGAUAUAUAUAUAUAUAUAUAUAUAUAUAUAUCUCUCUCUCUCUCUCUCUCUCUCUCUCUCUCUCUCUCUCUCUCUCAGGCCGAUGAUAUGAAAAUACUCGUAAACGAGAGAAUAUGAGUAUUCAAAAGACGAGAAUCUAAAUAAAGUAACUAGUAAACGUAGGCAAUAUAGUAUGAUAAGUUGGUUGAUGGGUGAGUUGGGAUCCCCUGAUGAUAGUAAGUUUCAACCCUGGUGGCAAUACGAUUGGUGUGUAGGGUAGUUAGUUACUAAUUUUUAAAUACUCAUGUUUCCCAAGAUAUGAGUAUUCUCAUAUCAUCGGGGUCGGAGAAAUAUGAAAUAAAAAGUGAAAUCAGAGGUUAUAUAUAUAUAUAUAUUAAAACUCAAACUUAGAUUUGAAAUAGAAUUUUAAUAGUAGGGAACUACGAAAAUCCAAACGUCAUCAAUCCUUAGAUGAGGAACUAAUGAUUACCAUCGGUAACCUAAUAUGUGAUAACAUGAAUACGGAAGGACGGUGGUAGCGCGCCCAGGAAUAGAUCAUAUAAAGAGCUCUCUCUCUCUCUCUCUCAGGCUGACCAAUUUAUGAUGACUAUCGUGGUGCACGAACCACGAAAACACUCAAAAGAUCGAGCUGAAACAUAAAUAUAGAAAAAUGACUACACCCGAAAUGAGCCCAAUCCAAACAAUAACCAAAUUAUUGAGUGAGUUAGAAUCCCCACGGUGUAGUAGAAUUCCCAUAUAAAAAAAUAAAUUCCCGCCUUUUAAACUAUCGUGAUUAGCGAACUAUGAUAACUAUCAUAAGGUCGGAUAGAUAUAUAUAUAUAUAUAUAUACAUCUCAGGCCGACNAUCAUUCUUGAAUAAGGGCAUUAUAAAAUUGCAAUUAAAAAAAAAGGUGGUUGAGGCAGCAUUUCUUUUAUAUAUAUAUAUAUAUAUAUAUAUAUAUAUAUAUAUAUAUAUAUACACACACACACACACACAUGUAUCCCACACUACACACUCUAUUGCCCCAGUACUGCUGUUCUUACUCCAAGCUUAUCAACAGCAGGGGCAAUGGAAACACUCCCCUACUACUUGACCUCCAUCACAAUUGCCAUCCUACUCACACUCAUCAUCAACCUCUUCUUCUCUGCAAUAAACAAUAGAAGCAAUAUUGAAAGCAAGAAGCUUCCGCCGAGCCCGCCGUCGCUGCCGAUCGUCGGCCACCUGCACCUGCUGAAGCGCCCGCUCCACCGCGGCCUCGCGGCGAUCACCGACCACCACGGCCCCGUCCUCCUCCUCCGCCUCGGCUCCCGCCCGGUGCUCGUGGUCGCGUCGCGCGGCGCGGCGGAGCAGUGCUUCAGCGCCGCGAACGACGUGGCCUUCGCGAACCGGCCACUGCUCCCGUCGAUGAAGUACCUCACCCACGACUACACCACGCUGGCGUUCGCCAACUACGGGCCCCUGUGGCGCAACCUGCGCCGCAUCGCCACCGCCGAGGUGCUCUCGACGCACCGCCUCACCGCGUGCGCCGCGUUCCGCACCGAGGAGGUGCGGGGAAUUGCCCGGAGGAUCUUCUCCGAUUGGAACGCGAACAAGGUACGUACGUACGCACCUGCCUAGCUAGCUACGUGCGUUUUUUUCUUUUAUUACGUACUUUGCUCUUGGAUGCGCGCAUGGUGCACGGUUUGUUGGUUUAAUUAGUUUUCUAUAAGAAUUAAUUAAUUCGUAAGUGUAAGAAUUUUACUGCUUUUUUUGAUAACAGGUCCCAAUUAUUUAUAGAAAACUAAUGUAGACUUUUCAGAAAAACAAAAUAUUACACUUAAUUUGAACUAUAAUAAGAUAGAAAAUAAUAUAUAUGCUAAAUAACAAGGGGAUUUUUUAGAACUUUCCAAUAAAUAGUCACAGAUUUACCGUACGUCAAAAAAUCACUUCAUCUUCUCCGUCUCACCUUCUUGUUAUUGCUAAUCUUCUUUCAUGCAUAUAAUAUAUGCAUAUAUUUGUAAUAUUUAUGCUUAUUGAUCUCUUUUCAAUCCUACUAACUAAUUAUACAUAGGCUAUAUAGUAAUUAUUAACUGUGGAAACAACUAAUUAAUUAUUUUGGAUAUAGAAUGACGAGUCGUCGUCGUUCACCAAGGUGGAGAUGAAGUCGAGGUUGUUCGAUCUAGCACUGAAUGUGAUGAUGAGGAUGAUAGCAGGGCGAAAGUACACCUUCUCACAAGGCGAGGGAGUCGGAGGGUCGGAGGCCGCGAAGCGAUUCAGGGAGAUGGUGGAAGAGACCUUCUUGUUGGCCGAUUCGGCUUCAAACUUAGGAGACUUUCUACCCAUGCUAAGGUGGUUUGAUAUCGGAGGUAGUAUCAAGUGUUUGGUUCUAUCAAGUUUUCCGCCGUUAGAUUUAACCCUUUGAUUAUUUUCACCCGUUAGAUUAUAUUAUUAAACCAAUAACCCACUUAACCCUAUAAAGCCCACAUCAUUAUAUAUAUAUAUAUAUAUAGUUCGGCUAGAAUACUCACAAAAGCACCAAUGAGGUGGUGCUUUUGAGUUUUUAACCAUUGGAUGGAGAAAUGUAAGAUUUUGAGGUGGUAGUUUAUAGUGGAAAGUGUUUGAUCCAAUUAUUAGUAUAAGGAGUAGAUCAGUAUGCAAACCUAAAAGCAUAGGGGUGAUACUUAAGUUCUAUCAAUAUAUAAUAUAAUAUAUAUAUAUAUAUAUAUAUAUAUAGGCUGGGGCUACUAUACUCUUAUGAGUAUAGAACCCUUUGUACUCAUAAAUUUUUAAUCAUUGAUUGAUGGGAUGUGUGGUUAGCAUAACGGUGGUCCCAACUUUGAAUGAUAGUAGUCCCCUAGGGUUGAGUGGGUAGUUGGUUGAAUAGUAUGAUAUAACGGAUGCAAAUGAUCAAUGAAAUAAAUCUAAGAGCAGAAAACUUAUGAGUAUAAGAGAGCAAAUGCUCAUAAAAGUAUAGUAGCCGGACUCUCUCUCUCUCUCUCUCUCUCUCUCUCUCUCUCUCUCUCUCUAUAUAUAUAUAUAUAUAUAUAUAUAUAUAGUUGAGCUAGAAUACCCUCAAAAGCACCAAGGGGUGGUAUUUUUGAGUUUUUAGCCAUUGAAUGGAAAGAAGUAGGGUUGAGAUGGUGGUGGUUUAUUAUAUAUAUAUAUAUAUAUAUAUAAAUAAGGUAGAAUACUUUUAGAAGCACCAAGGGGUGAUACUUUUAAAAGCUUAUCAUUCUUGAAUAAGGGCAUUAUACAAUUGCAAUUAAAAAAAAAAAGGUGGUUGAGGCAGAGAUUUUUAUUAUAAAAGCUUAUCAUUCUUGAAUAAGGGCAUUAUAAAAUUGCAAUUAAAAAAAAAGGUGGUUGAGGCAGCAUUUCUUUUAUAUAUAUAUAUAUAUAUAUAUAUAUAUAUAUAUAUAUAUAUAUACACACACACACACACACAUGUAUCCCACACUACACACUCUAUUGCCCCAGUACUGCUGUUCUUACUCCAAGCUUAUCAACAGCAGGGGCAAUGGAAACACUCCCCUACUACUUGACCUCCAUCACAAUUGCCAUCCUACUCACACUCAUCAUCAACCUCUUCUUCUCUGCAAUAAACAAUAGAAGCAAUAUUGAAAGCAAGAAGCUUCCGCCGAGCCCGCCGUCGCUGCCGAUCGUCGGCCACCUGCACCUGCUGAAGCGCCCGCUCCACCGCGGCCUCGCGGCGAUCACCGACCACCACGGCCCCGUCCUCCUCCUCCGCCUCGGCUCCCGCCCGGUGCUCGUGGUCGCGUCGCGCGGCGCGGCGGAGCAGUGCUUCAGCGCCGCGAACGACGUGGCCUUCGCGAACCGGCCGCGGCUCCCGUCGAUGAAGUACCUCACCCACGACUACACCACGCUGGCGUUCGCCAACUACGGGCCCCUGUGGCGCAACCUGCGCCGCAUCGCCACCGCCGAGGUGCUCUCGACGCACCGCCUCACCGCGUGCGCCGCGUUCCGCACCGAGGAGGUGCGGGGAAUUGCCCGGAGGAUCUUCUCCGAUUGGAACGCGAACAAGGUACGUACGUACGCACCUGCCUAGCUAGCUACGUGCGUUUUUUUCUUUUAUUACGUACUUUGCUCUUGGAUGCGCGCAUGGUGCACGGUUUGUUGGUUUAAUUAGUUUUCUAUAAGAAUUAAUUAAUUCGUAAGUGUAAGAAUUUUACUGCUUUUUUUGAUAACAGGUCCCAAUUAUUUAUAGAAAACUAAUGUAGACUUUUCAGAAAAACAAAAUAUUACACUUAAUUUGAACUAUAAUAAGAUAGAAAAUAAUAUAUAUGCUAAAUAACAAGGGGAUUUUUUAGAACUUUCCAAUAAAUAGUCACAGAUUUACCGUACGUCAAAAAAUCACUUCAUCUUCUCCGUCUCACCUUCUUGUUAUUGCUAAUCUUCUUUCAUGCAUAUAAUAUAUGCAUAUAUUUGUAAUAUUUAUGCUUAUUGAUCUCUUUUCAAUCCUACUAACUAAUUAUACAUAGGCUAUAUAGUAAUUAUUAACUGUGGAAACAACUAAUUAAUUAUUUUGGAUAUAGAAUGACGAGUCGUCGUCGUUCACCAAGGUGGAGAUGAAGUCGAGGUUGUUCGAUCUAGCACUGAAUGUGAUGAUGAGGAUGAUAGCAGGGCGAAAGUACACCUUCUCACAAGGCGAGGGAGUCGGAGGGUCGGAGGCCGCGAAGCGAUUCAGGGAGAUGGUGGAAGAGACCUUCUUGUUGGCCGAUUCGGCUUCAAACUUAGGAGACUUUCUACCCAUGCUAAGGUGGUUUGAUAUCGGAGGGGCCGAGAAAAGGAUGAGGAAAUUGCUGAAGGAGAGAGAAGAGCUGAGCCAGAAGAUUGUCGACGAGAAGAGGAGAGAAAGCGAGGAGGAGAUCAAGAAGGAGCAGACUAUGAUCGGAGAUCUGCUUGAGUCGCAGAAGCAAGAUCCUGAUUUCUAUACCGAUGAAACCAUCAAAGCACUUGCCUUUGUGAGUCUGUCUCUCUUUUCUUUUUUCGUAUGUAUAUUUUUAAAAAAUUAUGAUUAUGUUAAAUUUAACUAUUCUGAAUACUUUAUGUGAAACUGCAAAUUUUACUAACUACAUCACUCAAGUCAGGUACUGACCAAUUAAAUUCUCAAUUAAAGUUUUCUAAAAAUAAGCUAAAGUAACUAAAUAUUAGAAAAAUAUUAGUUAGAAAAAAAUAAAUUUGGACGAUCUUCGGUAAUUAAAUGGGCUGUAGUAGUUGACAGGUCAACAUAAAUUUUAGCUCUGUCACUUUUGGUCCGGCAUAGCCACGUAUGGGAGUGGGAUGGAUAAAGGGCCGAUUAGUUAGAUAUAAUUAUAAAUAUUGUAUAAUUAGAUAUGCAUGGAGUUAAAAAUACAAUAGUUAUAACUAUAUGAAUCCUGUUUGACUGAAUAUAGUAGAAAGCGCUACAAAUAUAAAUAAUUUAUUUGGUUGCAUAUAGUUGAAAAUUAAUUUUUAAAAUUUUAUCAUUUUAUAUAUAUGACGGUGAGAAUACCUUCAAAGUAAAAAAAAAAAAAAAAAUUUAUUUAAAAAAUAUUGAGGGGGUAAGCAUUCUUUUUAUAUAAGGUUACUUUCUCCAACUGCUGCAGUUGGAACUGCGGUCAAUUUGAGCAUAGUUCGAACUGCUGCAUUUGGGCCUCCUCCUGCAUUCCUACUAUAGCAGUUGGAGUUAAAUACAUCAAACCAAAUACGAAAUUUAUAUUUACAUGUAGUUACAACUAUAGUGCAGUUACAACUACAUACAACCAAACAGUCCCUUAAUGAUGUUAUAGUCAUGUGCAUUCAUUUUACCAAUCAAUGUUGUUACUUGGAUGCCCCACAAAAGUUCUUUUCUAAAUUAUUUAUCUAACAAUAAUAUACAUUUAUUUAUCAUAUUAUAUGCAUUAAUAUAUUAGUAAUUUAUAAAAAAAAUGUUUUUACUAUUUACAGCAAUACUCGAAAAAAAAGAAAACUAAAAGAGUAGUAAUUAUAUACCUCCUAAAUAUAGCUCUUACAUAUUAUUAAAUAUGUAUAAUAAUAUUUGUAUACAAUUUAGGACACUAGAGUAUUAACGAUAUAUCAGUCGACUAAGAAUUUAAUGACUCAUAUCAAAAUUUUAAUUUGAAACAGAUAAAAUCUUAUCUUUUUUCAGCAAACUAAUAAGAUAUCUAAAAUAUUUUCGAUGGACGCAGCAUAUACACAUAGCCUAACAUGUGGGCGUUACCUAAACCCGACAAAAGUGGAUUGGUCGCGGCGGGAUCGUCACGUGGUUUCAUACCGUUGCUUUCGUUGCAUCUGAUAAUAAUUAAUAAUAAUAACCACGUUCCUGAUUCCUUAAUUUCUAGUCAAACUCCAUUUGAACACCUCGGAACACUUCUUGUUAGUCCAUACAAAAAUUAUCCUUAUAGUAUAGUUUUUGCUCCUAUUACACCCAACUUAACAAGGCAUGCAUGAAUCAGUAAUUAAUUAUAACCCUUAUAACUGUUGCUUUUUGAAAGAGCUUGUUAUCAGCGGGAACGGAUACGACGUCGAACACCAUCGAGUGGGCCAUGUCGCUCCUCCUCAACAAUCCUGAAGUCCUGAGAAAAGCGGCGACGGAGAUCGACGUUCGUGUGGGCACCGAUCGCUUAGUGGAGGAGUCGGACAUCGCGAACCUCCCCUAUCUCCGCUGCGUCUUCACCGAGACUCUCCGCCUCUACCCCGGAGGGCCCCUCCUCGUCCCCCACGAAUCUGCGACGGAGCUAACCAUCGCAAACUACACCGUGCCGCAAGGCACCAUGCUACUGGUCAAUGCCUACGCCAUCCACAGAGACCCCGCUGUAUGGCGCGAGCCUACGAAGUUUAAGCCGGAGAGGUUUGAAGCUGGGAGAGAAGAGAAGGGGUGGAUGAUUCCGUUCGGGAUGGGGCGGCGACGGUGCCCCGGGGAGGGCCUCGCCACGCGGGAGGCGUCGCUGUUGCUCGCGACGAUGAUACAGUGUUUCGAGUGGAAGAGAGUUGGGGAGGAGGAGGUGGACAUGACUGAAGGAAUGGGGCUGACUCUGCCCAAGGCAUUGCCUCUGGAAGCACUGGUUCGGCCGCGCCCGAACAUGAUCGAUUUACUUUCCAAGCUCUAAAUGCAUAUCAUGAGUUGCAUUUCACAAACGCAGGAAUAAAAGAAACUAUAUAUGAAAGCUAGUACAGCAGCACCAGACCACUGGCUUGUAUGCGUACGUUAAGGGGUGAUGAACUACUAUAGUACAUCUCUGGUAAUAGUAUGAUCGUUUAUGUAGUUUCCUAUGUAAACCUUUCAAAGUAUCUGCCUUUAUUCAAGUUCGUUUUUCCUUUGUUUGACGCCUCUUCGACUUUUUAUUUGCUUUGUCUUAAACAACUUCGUCACAACCUUGCUUCAAGAGGGAUUAGAUUAAUAUGACAAACAAAAAUCUUUUCAAACAUCAGUACCAUAUAAUCACAUUAAUUUGCCAGACGACAAUCUGCGGAGAAUCCGUUAAACAACAGCAUAACUUUUCAAUGAGAAAUGUAGGAAGCCUAUCAUUAAAUCUGAAAGCCUACAGCAUCAUAACAUCUCACUAUAUUUUGAAAUCCAUAACACAUACAGUGUUGUUAGAGAAACAUGCAGCAAUCUUAUCGCCUUCUUUGUUCCAGCACACUUCGAAGAUGCCGCCGCCGCCUCUGUAGGUCUUCAAUAUCCUCCCUUCUUUUACUGACCAUAUGUGCAGGCACUGAUCUAACGAUCCGCUUGCCAAGUACUCACCGUUGGGGCUAAACGCGACAGAAUAUACAGGUUGCCUGUAGUUGUAUUGUGCAACAGAGAAGUUACCGUAAGAAAUACAUGGGAGCACUACUAUGUACCUAUGCCUAGGGUCAAUUACAAAUUCAGCCACUGAUGUUUGAUCAUGACUCCAUGGUAGUUCCAUUUCUAACAAUUUGGUCCCUAAAGUUUAUCCCGUGCAAUGAUAAAGUUCUUUAAAUUAGUCUACCAUUGAGCAAACCGUAACUAUCGUGCUGGCAUGGCAUCUUUCUUCUGGCAGUAGAAUAAUAAAAGGACUAGAGUGUUUCACAGGACAAUUUGCAAUGACUAAAUCAUCAAAAUCGAUAUUCUAAGGACCGGAGUCACAAUUACCUGUGGCCGUUCAAGCUGUACAAAAGGCGCCCUUGAUCUACAUCCCAUAGCUUGAUAGUUGAGUCAAAGGAUGCACUAAACAUAAGUCAACAUCAUUAAUCAAUUAAAGCCGUGACAACAGAAUGCUCAGAAACUACUAACAUGAGAAAUACAUGUGUACAGAAAGUAGGAAAAUUCUUGCCUUGCCAACACUAGUUGGUGAUUAGGGUUGUUUGUUCCCUGGCCUGUGGGGCUCCAUUUGAUUGUAUAUAUUUCCUGGAAAAGAAAGUUGUUGAUCUAUUAGCAAGAUGGAUGCCUAUAAAGAGUAGGUGCUACUCAGAAAAGGAUUAGAACCUUGCUGUGAUCCUUGAAAUCAUACAAAAACUUGUCCUGCUUCGGACUCCAUAUCUGCCAAAAUUUAAUUAAGUUAUCAGAUCUGAUAUUGAAGUACAUAAUUAUACGAAAGAAAGUCAAGCCUAGAAUGAAAAGAGCCAGCUAUUAAGCAAUCUAAGGUGUACACUUCAUAUUACUAGCAACAAAGAAACAAUUAUCCCACAGACUGCUAUAAUGGGGUCAAUUUUUUAGAAGAUAUCUCAAAACCAGGAUCGAAUAAGCUAAAUAGGUCACACUAUAGUUAAUAGAUAGGUGCACUAACCCACCGAACAAACGAAGGGAUUUAUCAAACAAUCUCAAGAUGUAUGCUUACAAGCAAUAAAUGAUGAAAAGAAUCCAACAGAUUGCUAACAAUUUUUAGAAGAUAUCCCACAGCCGGGGUUCGAAAGGUCAAUAAGUUGACCUAAACUCCACUGCAUGCACCAAUCCGGAAAAAGUUCAGCUCAAUUAUUAAGGUGAAAAAAAAUAGUAAUGAAAAUUGCUAAUGCCAAUUAAGUAGAACUAUUUCUCAUAAACUUCUCCGUGCAGACAUGAUUAUGUACCUUUGCAGUCCCAUCAUCAGCGCAUGAAGCCAGCAAAGAACCAGUUGGAUCCCAUUUGAUAGCAUUAACUUCACCCUGAAAAAAAAUAUGAUGUGGAAAAAAGUUAACCUCAUAUGCAUAUUCGAUGAUGCUACACCAGUAAUUAACCAGCAGCUAUUUUUCAUCCUUCAUCUAUCAUGCACUAACACGCCAUGCUUUUUUAUAUCAUUUUAACUUGGAAUGACAUCAUAUCUAUUUGGUUCUCAGUGUGUGUAUGUAUGAGAGAGAGAGGGGUAGGAAUUUCAUCUUGUAAAAAAAAAGAAAAAGAAAAAAGAAAUCUAAUGACCAACCUAUUAACUACAGAUUGUGGAACUUCAUCCACAAGUAUACGAAGAAUCAUGUGUGGAAGUUUCAAUAAAUGCUUUGCAUGUCUUACUUCCAACAUGCGCUUCAACAUGAAAAGGAAAAAAUAGAGCAUCCCUUAGUUCAUUACAAAAUUUAUAUAGGUAAGACUACAAGGUUUGGUUCUUGUGUUGUAGAUUGAAAUGUAUUAAUGCGAGUGUCACAUUGAGACUAAACUUUUAAGGGAGCAACAUAGUUAUAGAGAUUCGUACAUCGUUUACCCAUUAGGCGGAGCAAUUCGAGACCAUUGGACGCCAAUAAUUGUUCAAAGAAUCAAAAUAUGACUAUCUCAGUUAAAUAGGAAAAGAAAACCUGAUGCCCAGAGAAUGCCUUGACUGGGCGAGACUCUCCAAUCUUGCAAACAUAGAUCAUGUUAUCAGUUGAGCAUGUUGCAAAAGAAUUAUUGUUUCUCCAAUCAACGUCAAGUGUUGGAGCUGGAAAAGUAAAAGGAUAAACGAAAUACUAGGUAAGACUUUGAAGCCUACAAGCAUAGUUAAGUAUAAUCUUAAUUUAUAGGUAAACGUAAUUCUAAGUAAAUCAACAAUAUCAGCACCUGAAUGAAACUCAAAUUGUUGUUUACACUCCCAUGUCUUCGUGUCCCACACAAUAGCAGUUUUGUCAACACUUCCACUAAGGAGGAAAUCACCCUUUUUGUUCCAUUUCAAAGAAAAUAUUGGUCCCUUAUGCUUGAUCAAAGUAUUCUUCAACUCCCCUGCUCAUGUUAUUGAACCAACACAAAGGAAAUACCAGUAGUAAUUACAAUGAAAGAUAUGCAAAAACCCAAAAUGAAAAUAAGUUACAUAAGUUAAUUGUGAAUUGAAAAAUAAUAGGCUGCAAGGAUUGGAGACAGAGUGAAUGGGGGAAAGUACAAAUCGUUGGAGCUAAAGAAGCUUUUCUGUCCAUUAGGCUAUUAUUGUCUCUUUAUCACUAAGUAACUGAGCGAUUGUCCUCCAGCUCCUGCUGAGUAUAGGGCUUCGGCUCUAUUAAUAACUCAUUAAUGUCAUAGAAUAUAUGCUUAUAAUCUCGUUCACAUUCAUUAAAACAGCUCAGAACCAUAAAAUAAGGACUAACCUAUUUUGUUUAGAAGAGAUGUUCGGGUCAUAUGACAAUAUAAAGUGACGAACCAUAAAGCAAUUUCUUCAACGGAAAAAUCAAAGCCUUACCAUCCUUACUCCAUAUUCUUGCAUGUCCAUCAUAUGAACCUGUAGCUAGUAAAGUACCUUCUCCCUGUAAUAGUUCCACAUAGGAAAAGAAUAUGAGAAAAAGGUUCCAAAUAGUACAAUGAGAGGAGAAAGAGAAACCAAUUGCAGAAUACAAAUUUGUGAAUAAGAAAGAUAAUAUAGAAGCAGAUUUGUUAUUUCAAGAGAAAAGGAAAUCACUGAGAGAGAGAGAGAGAGAGAGAGAGAGAGAGAGAGAGAGAGAGAGACUACAUUCCAAUCAAGUGUGGUGACAUCCUUGCUCUUCUCAUUAGUUCGCCCUUUAAAAUGUUUCAGAACAUGAGCAGUUGGGGGAAAUGCUUGCACACUAGAACCACAAGGACCAUCUGGAAUCGUCCAAAUUCUUGCCGUUGAAUCCCCAGACCUGCCCAAUCACAAAAUGACUCAAAUUGUUUCUUGUAACUGGAGCGAAUAUCUAAAACAUAUGCACAUGGAAGCAAAUUAGCAUUUCAAGUUGCAAAAUUUGUGCUUGAAGAUUCUGAGAGGACAGCUACAACAAGCUUAAUUGAAGCUCUUGGAGCUUGAUGUCUGAACUUGAAUAUGUCAACCAGUGGGGACAUUACUCUAUGUUCAUAAUAGUUUGCAAAUUAGAAUGAAAAGAGUAGGUAAAAAGAGGUCUAUUAGUGGAGCUUGCAAUAGAAGAAACUAAGUGCAACAUAUGAAACUUAGCAUGCGAUGCAAAAUGAACAAAGUAAAAAUGGAUAACAAGUUAACAACAUAAAUGACAAACCUAGUAUUAUAAGUAUGCUUUAGUCUAAUACCCACCCAGAUGCUAGAAGAGAACCUGCUGGGCUCCAAGCACACGCAAAUACCUAAAUGCAUAAAAAAUGGAAAUAUAUGAAAGCAGGAACAGUUAGAAUCUCAUAAUCAACAGGCAGUAUAUGACAUAAAGAAAUGUAAAAAAGUAUCAGACCUCAGAACAGUGGCCUUCCAAUAUAGUUACGUCAGAACUAGAUAUCUCACUAGUGACUGGGUGAGAGCUUGGGGCGGCAUCAGUUGGUUCAGGCCCUAUUAGACAAUCAAGGUGAAUGAGUGAAAUAUGUCCACCAGAUGACAGCGAUGAAACUAAAGAAAUUAGUACAUAACUAAUUAGCAAAGGUGAGACCGGGGCUAUGUGGCGAGGAUGUGCGCUUAGUUAGGUAAAGAUCACCUGGAGUAAGUCGAUUAGACUACAUCCAAGAAAACAGUAUAAAUUCAUUUACAUGCAACAUGUUGCACCACAUGCUUAGACAGUUAGAUGUUAACCCCUCUAGGUGUGCAGCAUGUGUUAACACAUGACCCUGGCUUAGCUUUCAGACCGAGGGCAUGACAAAGGAGCAUUUCGAGAUAUCGAACUAACGAGAUAUCACUCUCAACAAGGUCCAAUAUACGGAGAGCCUAACCAACAGAACUUCUCAAAUUAGCAUAUAACAUGGUACUUUAAUGACGUCAUCCAUAUGAAGGGAACUAAUUAACUACAUGUAAGUCCAACAAAAUAGAAAAACACAAUCUAUCAGGUAUAAUGAAAGCAUUGCAAAUAGUACAGGUACAGCAGCAGUAUACAGCAUGCGUAACAUUCACGCAUGUUCGACAUGUUUGAUCUCUAGAGAUUCAGCAAAAUAUACUGGAUCUUCCUUAAUGCUCCAAUGUCUGAAGGAAUUAAACAAUUAUAAAUCAACUAAAUAUAAUGAGUAUUCAGUACAUCACAAACUUUGAUCAAUUUGAAAGAAAAUGCAGAUAUAAAUAUGAGUAUAUUACAUAAAUGCUAUUAGAGGAUGGAACAGUAACGAGUAACAUUGUAAAAGAUUUGCUUGUGUUUUGAACUUUGACGAUUCCAGGCUUCCAUCAUAAGAAUGCUUGUAUUCUUACAGAAAAACAGAAAAAGGAAUAUGUUGUUUAUCUAAUAUAGGUAGCCUACAGGCAACAAAAAAGAGGAAAUAAGUUUUAAGUUUCUUGCAGGUCUCUUUACCUCCAGCUCCAUUUUCAUCAAGUCUGGCCUUAUCUUUGCGCUCACCAUGCUGCUUAUCCUUUUCUCUGUCCUUUUCUUGCUCUUUAUCCUUUUCCAUCUUUUCUUUAUCCCUCUCUUGAUCUCUAUCAUGUCUUUCCUUCUCCUUUUCACCUCCAAGAGUCCGUUCUCUAUCUUUUUCCUUGUCCUUAUCUUGCUCAUGCUGAUAUUUCUUCCUUUUCCUCUCCCUUAUAAUUUCUUGUAGCUCGUUCACAUCUUUUGUAAUAAGAUCCAGAGGUUGUAAGAGAGAAAAUUCCUCAUCGACAUCUAUAUCGCUCUGCCAAAACAAGAAGCAUAACGAAGGGGGAAAAAUGUUAUCUAACAAUAGACCAAGAAAACGAAUAAAUUAGAUGACAAGACUAUGACACAAAAAACUUACAUUGCUAACGUUAGCCUCUAACUCUAUAUAUUGAAGACCUUUUUGUACAAUGGUAAUAAGAGCACCAGGUGGAAUUAUAUUUCCAUCAAUAUUAGAUCUGUGAAUCCCUGCUUCAUAUCCUAAACAAAAUGCUGAGUGAGCAAAUCCUGCAAAUUUCACAUAACAAGCGUUAGCAUCACAGAUCCAACUAACUUUUCACUGUAUAAUUUGCUCUCAUUUUUUCUUGCUAACAAGACGAAAGGCCAAAGUAAAAGUAAUAGAACUACGUCGAGCAUUAAAUAGUUUAAAACAAGAGAGAACCAUCUGGGAAACUAAUUGAAAACAAUGACUAUUGACUAGCAACUUUAUGUUAUAGAAAGAGAGAAAAAAAAAAAGGUAUAAGGACCCCCUCAACUAUAGCUUAUUUUUAGAUAGACCCCUCACCUCUUUCUCUUAUGAUGCCUCCUAUGGCGUUUCUCUUAUGUUUGGCCAGUGCAAACAAAUUUUUCAGUUGCUGGAAUGGAACUAACAUUAUGGCAUUUUUGUUAUCUACUAAUAGUUGAUAGCUAAUGGAGCUAAUUGAAUUUGUAAAAGUAACUCAAAUCAAAGCAAGUCAAAGUUGAGAAGUCUCCAAGUUGCCCCAAAAAAUUCAAAUUUUCAAGCAAAGCAUCAAAUCUUGUUAUUUCAAAUAAAAAUACUCGAGCUACAGUGAUCAGAAACAUAAAAAACAACACAACAAACUCUUCUAAGCACAGUAAACAAAGGUUAAGAGCAGCUACAAAAGCAGUUCACUAACAAUCGAUCCAACUUCAAAAGUCGCUCUACAGCGUUAAACGAUCUAAAAUGUUUGCAGCUACCACGAAUUCAUGUGCCUAAAUUACAAAAAAUUAGGUCAAAAAAACCCUGGCAGAACCCAACGCGACGGAACAAAAAAUUAUACAGGUAACAAUUCUGAAGAACAACGCGAAUAAUCAGAAAAAAAAAAUCAAAUUUAACGACGGAACUUGGAGAUCGAGAUCGAGAUCGAGAGAGAGAGAGAAGAACCUGAUUCGUGGAGGUAUCGAAAGACGAGGUAAUUGAGCUCUACAGAGGUGAUUGUGGACUUCGACAUCGAAACCCUAGUGAUAGCACGAACAUAUAGAGAGAGAGAGAGAGAGAGAGAGAGAGAGAGAGGUUCCUCCCGGGGAAGAGGAUGAGAGAGAGAGGAGGCGCUUCUCUCUCUCCGGGAAUUGCUUCUUCGGGAGCAAACGGUUUGGGAGAACGAAGAGGAAAGCCCAGAAAAAUAAUAAAAUUAAAAACCUAUUACUUAUGAAAUGUAAAAUGGGCCGGGUCGAACCAUUAAUGGCCAUAUAAUUUUGAACCUAAAUGGGCCAAAGAGGCUCGGCCUAGUACCAAAUACAAAACGGCCUACUUUUUUUAAAAAUAUAUAUAUAUAUAUAUAUAUAUAUUGUUAUUACUUCUGUAUAAUGUUUAUUUAUUAAUGAAAAAAUAAAUUCUAGUUAAUGCUUCGAAACGUGUCAAACAUUUUUAAAAAAUUGAUUAUAUCUGAGAGAAAAAAAAUUAAAAUAUUUGUACCGCGUGGUUAGAUGCCGCUCAUUUUAUCAGAUGCUUUUAAUCUUUUUGUUAAAAUCAUAAAAUAUUUGUUAUAUAAAAACAAAUAAUUUAAAACUAUGGGUUUACUUUCUUAAUAGCCUAUAGAUGAGGAGCCUGUGUGCAUUUUCUCCUUCCUAUUAAAAAUAAUAAUAAUAAUAAAUAAUAAAUAAAAAAGAAAAAGUUCGAUCUCGUGCAACGUGUUCUGAGCAACAACAGCGUCGCCCUCUUCGCUCUUCGCGAAAUUUAUGAUUAAGCGCCAUAGGCGACCUCUCUCUCCGGGACCCUCUCUCUCUCUCUCUCUCUUUCUCUCUCUCUUCUCACUCUACAAUGAAGAGAGGUUCUCGAACGAUCCAAUAGAGAAAGGUAUAUACGUUUCCCCAAUUUUUUUAUUAGUUGUUCUCUCUCUCCAAUGCUCAAAUUCAUAGAUUUUGAUUAGGGUUUGCAUUGAAUCGAAGCAUUCGAAGCCUCCUUGUUGCGAUUUCGUUUCUUAGGUUAAAAGUAUUUUGAAUUGGGUGUAUAAUUGCGGAAUUAUUCUUUAUUUUAGUGCUUCUCGUGUACCUUUGCCUUUUCAUGAUCACAAUCUUUACAAUUGAUUUAUGAAGUACAGUGUUGUUGUGAUAGGGAGAUAGGGUUUUUUGCUUUUUUUCACGAUUUUCUCUGUAAAUUCAUCUUUAGAGUUAUUUGUUUUGUUUAUUGAACUUAGUAGUGGUUUUGCAUCAAGUACAUCGUCGUAGAUUCCGCCGAAGUACCUUCUCAUCAUAGAAAGUUUUUAUUUCGGAAUUGCUCUUUCCAAUUUUCCUGUAAUAUUGGGCAAAUUUUAGUAUUUUAAGAUAUUGAGGAAUCGAUUUGUUGUACAUAUAUGCACUCAAAAUGCACUUUCUGAUUCUAUUCUCGCUGUUGAGUAUUUAUUAGAUUUAAGGCAAAAGUUUUACUUUGUACGCGAGCUUGGCGAACGCGGUAAUCUAUGCUCGUGAAUUAGUUGUGUCUUACUGGAAAAGGCUGACUUACCAUAACCAAGGAUGCUGGCAUUAUAGGCAUAAGAUAUCUUUAUUGAAAUUAUUUUAAAUUUGUGUUCAUUAAUAGUUUUGUCAAACACAAUUCCUUGCUAUGUCGCGAGGAAACUAAAUGUUUAAGUUUUUGGUCUACUUGAAGUGAUAGCUUGGAACACUACACUUGAGUAUUGGUUGGUGCUAGUAAGAGUUUUCGGUAUAAAAGGCCGUAUACUUUUGCUUUCAGUUGAUUUUAGUUACUUAUUUAAGCUGCUACUGAGCUGGUUUAGGAAUGUAUUGGCGGUCCACUUUUGGUCUCUGACAUGGCGCGAUCGGGUCGAUAUAUGUUUAAACCUUUUUUUGGCAUUUUCUACAGGGUUUUUUCUUUUGCUUACAUAAACUUAUAAUUUUUCCUUUCUUCUUUCCAGGAUGUCGGAGCUUUCCGCAGCAGUGAAAGGAGAAUCCUGGCAUUCCGACCAUCAAAGAAUUGCAUUAUCUCCAUCCAACUUAUCUUCUGGCAAUCCUGUAAAUAUGGAAGUUGGAGAUGACGAUGAAGAGGAGGAUUUGGAUUUCAAUCCUUUUUUGAGGGAAGAAACUCCUUCAGAUGCCUCAUCAAGUCUGACUUCAGAAAAUGAAGGUGCAUCUGCUAGUGUUGAUAAAAUUAUGAGCUCUUCAGAUCAACAAGAUGUUAAUACAGCGUCUAGGCCAAUUGAUGAGACUCAACAUUGUAGUUUAAUUAUUGGAAAAGAGGAUGAGAAUACCCUGAUGCAUAAUAGGCUUGCAACAGACGAUGACUGUGGGAAAGAACCUGUUCAAGAAAACCAAGGGACAAAUUGUACACAGCAGGAGGAAAACUUAACUGUUUGUGGGAAAUCCCAGAAUCCAACGAUCAGCAUAGAUGAUGAGGAUGCCAUCUUUAAGCGCACACGGGCUCGCGUUUCUCUGGCAAAUUAUACACUCGAAGAAUUAGAGACCUUUCUCCAGGAAUCUGAUGAUGAUGGGGACCUACAAAAUAUUGAUGAAGAAGAGGAAUAUCGUAAGUUUCUUGCAGCUGUUCUACUGGAUGGAGGAGAUGACAAACACAAUGGACAGGGGGAUGAUAAUCUGGAUGAAGAUGAGAAUGAUGCUGACUUUGAAAUUGAAAUUGAGGAGGCAUUAGAAAGCGAUGCUGAUGAAAAUAUCGAAAAUGAGAAAUUAUUAGAUGACAAGCAAGAGGAAGAUUCCCGUAGGCCCGUGACUCGGCAGAAGAAACGGCUUAAGGAGUCAGCUGAAAGUAAGAAAUGCUUUCUGGGGCAACCAAAAUUGCCCUUGCGUCCUAUUCUGCCGUAUGUUGCUCAUGCCCAAGUAUCCCCUCUCCCUGCCUAUGGAUGGCAGUUUCCUUCUAAAAAUGGAGCUGAUUUGGCGAAUGGAUUCACAGCUCAGCAAAUAGGCCAGCUCUAUUGCUUAAUACAUGAGCAUGUUCAACUUUUAGUUCAAGUCUUCUCUGUUUGUGUUCUUGAUCCAUCACGACAGCCGGUUGCUGUUGAAGUUCAAAAGAUGAUCACAGAGAUGGUUUGUAGGCGCGAGGAAGCCUUGGUUUCGAACAAAGUUCCUUAUCCGAGGACUUGCUUUGAGACUCCAUAUCUUCGUUCAUCACUUGAUAAUGCUUCUAAUCAGAGUUCAGAAUUCUCCCACUGGAUGCCAUUAAUUGAUUGCCCUUUAUUUUCCAUUCUUGAUGUGGCACCACUAAGGCUGGCAAAUAGUUACACAACUGAUGUUACAGCUAGUAGGUGACUAUAUAUACGUUUAUAUUAAUUGCUUGCCAAUUUUGUGCAGGCUUCCAAAUUCUGAAGAAACAGACUUUACUUGAACUAUAGCGCAUUUUGAAAUGGGUACCUGCGGUUUUCAUUUUAGAAUGUUUCAUCGAAAUAUUUUAGAACUGAAUGGUUUUUGUUAGAAAUAUACACUCUUUUUCACUUCAGAAAUGCUGUUAAUUGCUGAUGGGAGGUUUAAAUCAAAAACAUUCUACAGCUUGGUAGUGAAUCACAAUUUUAAAGUUUAGAUACUCAUUUUAAAAUGUGCAAUAGUUCAUGUAAGUUUGUACACUUCUCCAAUUUUUUAUGACCGUAUUCCUUUUACCAAAUGAUUUUACAGCUGUUGUAAGGUAUAGGCAGAGUCAUUUGGACAAUGCAGCUGACAAAAGCCACUUGAAAAGAGAACCUCUUUUUCCUUUGCCUAUGAUCGACACCGGCAGGGAGAGUAAUAAUAAGCUUCUUGGAGGAUUUAAUACAAUGUCUACAGUUUCAUCACUUUCACCUGGUCAGCUGCAACCUAAAAAGUCAUUAGCUGCUACCCUUGUAGAAAGUACCAAGAAGCAAUCAGUUGCUAUCGUCCCUGUGGAUAUAGCCAGAUUAGCACAGAGGUUUUUUCCUCUGUUUAAUAUUGCGCUGUUUCCUCACAAACCUCCGUUGCCAGCAGUUGCAAACCGUGUGCUUUUCACUGAUGCGGAGGAUGGGUGCGUUCUUUCUCCUUUUCUACCGUUGACGUUCCAUGUUUAAUAAUUCGGUUACUUUUUUUUUUCCCCCUUUUUCUAUUCUUUGCAUUGUUUAUCUUACUUAUCUGUCUGUCUACUAUGUUUUGAGUUCUACUCAUUUGUCCAUGUUUCUUCCUGUUUAGAGCUCUUCUUUGGUUUGCUAAUUAAUCCUUGAACAUUGUAUGGAACUUAAUUAUAGCUGUUUUAGUUGAAGCUGUUGGAAUCCUCACUUAUUUUAAGAGUCUCAACCAAGUCCUUGCCAUCAACUGGAUUUUUUUAACUGAUGUGAUCAAUUUGUCUGACAUGUAAGAUACACGUGCAUCCGCUCAAGCACCUACAUACCUAAUGCAAAAUUCCUCAGGCUAGUAAAAAUUGGAUCUAGAAUUAUUAGCACUUUGUUGAUACAUAAUAAUCUUCUUUAGAUCUAGAAUUGUUAGCUCUUUGAUUUCUUUCUGAUUCCUCUUUCAUGGAUUACACCGCCUUAUGAUUCACGAUUUGAUGUUAUCACUCUUACUUAGCCAGGAUUCGGUUACUGUUUUAUUUUCUUAAUUUUUGAGAUUCUUGCAGAUUACUAGCAAUGGGACUGAUGGAGUAUAAUAAUGAUUGGGGUGCGAUACAGAAGCACUUUCUUCCUUGUAAGUCGAAACAUCAGGUAAUAUCUGUAAUUAUUUUGAUACUUUUGUGAAUGUCUACAUGACAUGAACUUGCCUGCUUUCUGACCAAAAUGUGUCGUUGUGUUUAUAAAUUCCAAAUACAUAGUUUUUAUUUGCUAAUUUUGAUAUGGAAACUUUUUAAUAAGGCAUUUUAACCUUUCUUUAUGAUGAUUUGACAACAUGGUCUUUCUUUGAUGCAGAUUUUCGUCAGACAGAAAAACCGCAGCUCUUCUAAAGCUCCUGAGAAUCCAAUUAAGGUAAGCAUUCGAGUGAAUGACUAAAAUAUGUAUUUCCGUGUGCUCUUUCCAUCACAUGCUUAUAUAUGAUAAAAUUUGGUGGAAGUAUGCAUAUGAAAACAAAAGUUUGACUUCAGUGCUCAAUUGUGCAUUGAGAAUUUUUUGAAAUCCAUCAAGUUUUAAAUUCUGCUUCUCAUUUUAAGUUUUCAAUUGUUGGCUUGUUUUAAAGGCUUAUUUAUUUGUCAACUCAUCCAGGCUGUGCGACGUAUGAAGACCUCUCCGUUGACAAUAGAUGAAAAGGCACGGAUCUACGAGGUGAGUUGAUUGAAAAUCAUUAAUAGAACUGAUAUGGGCUAUAACUUAUUUAAGUCAUAAUCCCAUCAUACUCGUGUUUGAAGCCAGGGACUUAAAUUAUUCAAACAUGAUUGGAUAUCUGUUUGGAAAUUUUUUGUCCCACAUCGAGAUCCGUCACUAUUGCCACGCCAGUGGAGAAUUGCUACUGGAACCCAGAAGUCCUACUGUAAAAGUGAAGCUGUUAAAGAAAAGAGGCGAUUAUAUGAAGCAAAAAGAAGAAAAAUGAAAGCUUUAACGGCUGAUACAGAAACAAUACCUGGAAACGAGGUUAGUUAACAUAAUCAACUUUAAACAUUAUAUUUGCAUUAAAAUCCCUGGAAAAUUAUUUUUAUAUAUAUAUAUGUAUGUAUACCCCUGCAAAGUCUAAAUUAUUAUGUAUACCCAUUAAAAACUUAAUUUCUUUUGCAUAUGCCUUUGUAUUACAAAAGUACCCCUCUUUAGGCAAACUUACUCUGAUACAAAACCAAUUUACCAACAUAAAUUGUACACCUAAGCGUCCUAUUAAUUUGGUGGAUGAAUGACUACCAGGUUGACAAUGGAGGACCUAACAGUUCGGAUGAAAUGGAUAAUGAAAACGAAGCUUAUGUUCAUGAAGCAUUUUUAGCAGACUCGAGCAUUGGUAGGAAUGACACACAGUCUGUUCAGUUGAUACAGCAUGAGGGGGCUUACAUUGGUCAAAAAUCCUCCACUAAUACAGAUGAAUCUGAUGAUCUACAUCAAGUAGGUGGAACAAAGCUUGAUCUUCCAACAUCCUCAAAGACUUUUGAAAACACGAAUGAUUUUUCCAAGCAGACUGGUGUAUACUCUGUUUCACCUAUGAACUUAUUUUCUGGGUCAAAGUCAAAGUCCAUAGGGAAAAAUAUGUUGGUCUCAGUGCCUCAAGCACGCAAAAAUAAAGGGGCCCGGGUAGUGAAGUUGGCUCCCGACUUGCCACCUGUAAACCUCCCCCCCUCUGUUCGUGUGAUAUCCCGCUCAGCUUUUCAUGGCUUUCGUGGUGGAUCAUUAUUUUCUAACAUCAGUUCUAAUGCAACGAAAGAUGUUGUUUCUACGAGCUCUCAGGCCAUUACAAAAUAUAUUAAUACAGAAAAUCCAGGAAAACAGUUGAAUCUAUGCUCUGAUGGGGGUCCCCAUACAAAUAUGGCUGAAGAAAAUCCUGUUGAGUCUGAUUUCCAGAUGCAUCCUCUACUAUUCCAGUGUCCUGAAGAUCAAUCAUCAUAUUACCAUCAAGUGAGCAGAUACAGUUUUCUCUCUCAGAAUAGCGGUCAGGUUGAUCCCGUAGUGGGAGUAAAAGAUAACAUCAACAUUAUUUCGUACUCGAGAGAAGCUCCUGCAGAGGUGCAUACUAUCGACUUCCACCCUCUACUGCAAAGAAGUACUGGUGCAACUUUGUCGACCAGAAUUAGAGGUUCUGAGAACAUAGUAUCAGAUGUAGAGUGCCAUCAAUUCCUCGACCAAUCUGACUGUAACUUGAGAGAAUCUGUAAGCCACAGUGAGAAGGAAAACAAUCUUGACUUGGAUUUCCGCUUAUAUUCUGCAACAGAUAAUGAAAACUUAAAAUUUGCUAGCAGAGAUUCACUUGAGCAUGUCGAGUCAAGGACUUCUUAUUUGAAGCAUAGUGGUCUUUCAAAUUCGAGCAGAGUUUUUGCCCAGUCACAAGAGUGCGAGGUGGAAAAUGUUCAUCUUAUUGGACCUGAACCUACUAGAAUGAAUAAUUAUGCUCGCCAAUCCUUGGAAGAGCGUAAUGAGGAGUCUUUGCCAGGUAUUGUAAUGGAACAGGAGGAAUUGAGUGAUUCGGAUGAAGCGAGUGAACAUGUGGAGUUUGAACGUGAGGAAAUGGACGAUUCAGAGGAAGAUGCACAACCUUCUCAAACCCACAAUUUUGUCACCACUUUACUGAAAAGAAUGCUGCCUCUAUGAAUUUAUAUUGGCUUCUUUUUACCCAGCAAUUCUAUCUUCUCAAGAUACUGCUCACACUUCUGUAUUCUUCUGCAUAAUUUAAGUUACCAGGAUUCCGACUAACUUAAAAUGUUUCUUGUUCCAUUAUUUUUUUCCCCUACAUAAUGCAUCAGAAUUCGAAAGUUAGACGGCUCGCAAGGUUUAGAAAUAUCAAAAUUUUAGAAACUUGGAUUUUGGUAGUUCUAUUUGUUACCUUAAAUCCUUUUUUUUGGUCAGGAUAUUCAAACCUUUGUUUCUCUGGGGGAACACCAAGCCAUUGAUGAACAUAGUCAAGUGCAUCGGCCAAGAUCAAUCAUCCAACAAGGACCAGCCCAAGAGAGCAAACUCUGUUCAAGCUCAUCACAGGCGCGACAAGAUCCAUGUCAUGCUAAUGUUCCCCAAUUAAAGCCAAAGAAAGACUCUGGCAAAAAGGACACGUUGCGCAAAACUCAUCUUGGUGCAGCUCAUGCACGUCCUCAUCAAUCGAGCAAGGCGCGACCAAAAAGCUCGAGAGCCUGCCCAAUUGAACCGCGGCGGCUGCAUUUGCAAACGGAUACCGAAUGCAUGAAUGCUAAUCCCAGAAAACCGAGAAAACGGUCAGCUCCAAAUUAAUUCAGUGCUAACCUUUUUUUUCUUUUUCUCUUUCUCUCUUGCUCUGUAUAUCUUUGAGACUAAAAGAUCCAGUGGUGCUUUUUAGCCGGUUUAGUUAUUCGGGAACAACCAUCAAAAAAUAAUAAUAAUAACAAGUUAACAACGGAAAAAAGAAAAGGCACUGAUAACCAAAUUAGCAUUUGACACCCUAGGCUUAGCUACUAACUGUAACUUCUUAGACAACUUCCUCGUAGGAAUAUAUUUAGAUUAGAACCUGUGAGGAAAGCGAGUGAGGCGGUUCUCUGCUUCAGAUAUUGGUGGAUGUACCUUGUAAUUUGUUAAUGAUGUAUUGUAUACACCACACUUGUAAAUGUUUGAGGUCUUUCUCCAUGUGCAGAAAUGAUACUAAGGAGCUUUUAGAUUCGUUGCAAGUGAUUUAUUAUCAUCAAAUUGAAAAGUAAAAACUUCCGUAAUCGAAUUCUAUGAGCCUAGGUGGUAAAUUUGGUAGAAAGAUGAAUAUGCCCUUCAUUUGUUCUUAAGGAAAAAAAGAAAAAAGAAAAAAAAACCACCAGCACCAAAGGAACAAAAUUGAACGAACUGACAAUUCUCCAAAUCGAUUAAACUAAUAAAUAACCACGUAUAGCACAAUAGUCACACAUACGAGGCAGAUUCAAUGCAAACAUACAUAUUGACCAAAUUAUAAACACAUCGCUCAUCAAACAGCCAUUAGUUUCCACUUAACAAAUGGGUAGGGAUACUCUAAACACCCUGUGCACUCGGUAUCCUGAAGAGAGGUGCAACCCUUCACACGAUGAGCCCCCAUAACUAUGGCUAGCUCCAUCUACUUCCUUCUUUGAUAUAUCUGUAUUUUAAACUGAAUAAGUAUAUGAGACGAUUCAAAAUAAUUGAUAUCCCUCUAUUUAAAGGAAAAUAAUAUAUGCAAACAAAUGCAAGCAUAAAAAAUAAAAAUAAAGGAAGCACAUUUAGUAUGCGAAUGUAAAUAAGAAUUAUCACCCAAUGUAAACUAGUCAAAUAAUUGAUGAGUAUAAAAGUCCUGUUCAUGUGUUUUUAUCAGCUAGAUAUUUACCUUCCUCGGCCUUCGGACGAGGAACUGAAGAUGAACUGUAACUAAGCUCGUGAUGAAGUUCAGGAGAUAAGAUAGAAACCUUUGGAAUGGAUUAGCGUGAGAUCUCCAGCCUUUGGUUCUUUUGCAUGAUAAUAGGGAGCUUAUGAACAAUGAGGUUGGGAUCUCCAUAGGCUGCAGAAUCAGAAGGAAUGCCUUGCUGCACGACGCAGCAAGAUUUGAAAAAAGCAAUUCAACUUACAUUUUCUUAGUUGCAAGAAGAACAGAAAAUUCUAAAUCAAAGCAUAACUUUUUUUUGAGAGAGAAAGAAAGGUAGCAUGCUAACUGCUUCGUUUAUUUCAUUUUUAGAAAUAAAUUUAGCUAGAAAUGUGAAGCAACUAGGCUUCGAACCUGAGACCUCAAGUACCAACCAUCACUCUCAUUACCAUUUGCGCUAGGGACAGUCGGUAAUCAAAGCAUAACAUUAUCGUAGAACAAGGUCAGGUAGGAUUUCUAGCACACUAACUGUAGUAUGAAAGAGCAAAUAGACUUACAGCAGACAAACUUUGGAUAGUUGCUUCUCUCCAGCAGCUUUCCCGCAGAACUACAGGUUCAGCAUUGCCAUUACUACCAAAAGCACAAUAAACUCGAGUAUCCCUCAACCUCAUUAGCACUCCAUCAACUCUAAGCUGUUAAAAUAACACAUUCAGUAGCUAAAAAAUAAUACUAUGAACAGCAUAACUAUUCCAAUAAGUACAACUAACAUUAUAGAAAAUUAACAUGAUAAUUAAUCAUGAUAAUCCAAGUCUUUUUCCAUCAAAACUCACUCAGAAUCUAGGCAUUCCGUUAUCGAAUGCAUACUUCAUAUAUUCAAUAACGGAAUCUAAAUAAAAAUGUAAGGGACACUUUUGAGCCAAGGUAUUUAAACAUUACCCAGUAACGUAAUAGAAGAAACCAACAGCUUGGCAUCACUCUCUGCAGACAUACAAUAAAAGACUCUGUAAAACUUCAAAAGUCUAAAUACUCUUGCCUAUUCAAGGCCAACUUUGUUAACUAGACAAGCAAAAAGUACUUACCACUUUCACCGUUAGUAACGAUACCCCAUUGUCAGCCAACUCAUCUUCGUACAAAACAACCUAGAUAAUUAGGUUAAACUCUAAUUAGACGUGGCAACUACAUCUAUCACCCUAUUAGCUAUUAUAUCAAACUAAUCAACCUCAUCAUAAAAAAGAAUUGGUUCUCUUGACGACAGUGCAGCCAGAUCAAUUCGCUCAUCCGUGUCCUGCCAAUGCAAACCCUUCUGCAUUGCAAUGGUAUUCAGAAGUUAGUGUGGUUAUCUCGUAAUAGAUAUAUACCAAGCUAGAUGAACCUAAACAAAUAUAAGCAUGUAAAAAGUAAAACCAAUGUUACAAUAACAAGUCAGCUGAAUGUUGUGCAUAACUAUUUAUCUUUGCUUAAUAUUUGUGUGCUUGUGGUGAGCAAACUAGAAAUGUUUCAGGUUGAGGUGUUCUAGAAAAAUUGGAACGUUGGGAAGUAAAUACGAAGUGUCUGAAGAGGGUGCCAAUGGGAAAUGUAACGACUUUUCUUCAUUUCAUCAGAGCAAGUCACACUAGGAAAGAUAAAGUCCCACAAAAAAUUUAAUCUGAGUGGAAAGAUACAAGAUGUUGAGACUCCAAACUACAUCAAAACAUCCAGUGCAGAUUGAUUUAGCAGCUUUUACUUGCCGCCGCUAAAAUAACAUACUCAAAGAGGCAAAAGUAACAAAUAUAACAAACAAAAAUAAAAUAAGAAGCUUAUAUCUAAUAUUUAAUAAAUAAGUUCUGUAGCUAUAAAGACAAAUAAACACCUUUUCAUAGUUCGGUUCUAUCAUCUCACUGCCGCAAUAUGGUGUUGUGAAUGUAUAGUCAUAAUCAAGUAUCACUUGCUCAGAAGGUUUACUGCAAGACAACAACAAUAAGUAAAGAGCAAAAACAAGACAAUUUAAACCCCUUUAACAGAAGAAUCACCCAGGUAAAUAUAAAAAAAUAAAAAAUAAAAAAAAAGAAGAAGAUUCAAAGAAGUGUUUUGUCUUUUUGGAUCUCAUAAUUAGUGUUGUUACUGCUGCCUCUUAGAUCUAUGUAGAAUAACAAAAAUGUCAUGCAGAGUCAAAUUAAAAUAAAACACGUAAAGUAUCUUUAACAUCUUAGUUCUUCCUAAUAUACAAAGAACAUAAGUUAAAUGAACCUUCUAAAUUUCCAUUUUGCAGCAGCAGGGACUUCAACAGGUGGUAACGACUCCUGCUUCCAUCCCCUGAGAGCAUCUAAUGCAUUGAAAUGUAACUUAAUACCAGAGCUUAUAUGUAAAAGAGACAGAGAACUCUCUCCGAAAACCAUCUCAGGCAUAUGUGACGUUCCAAGCUUUUCUUCCCACCUGAAGAAACACCGCAAGAAAUAACCAAUCGUAAUGACGAAUAAGUAGUAUCUCAACUUUAGCUUCAAAAAUACCAAUGUACAAAUUUUCUCUUUCAUUUGCAAUCUCAUCGAAGACUCGAACAAAACUGCUACUCUUGGACAAAUAAAAGACCAAAGCCGCCUUUCGGGAAUAAUCCGUGCCUUAACUGCUAUCAUAUCUUAUCCUAAUUGUACAAGUAAUCAACUAAAAACAAAACUCACUUGUAUAUUACGAUCAAAUUAACUUAAAUCAUCUUCCACCGCACAACAUUUCCCUUCUACUUGCUCUCGCAAGCGAAUCACACUACCAAAAUUCCCAUAAGCUGUUCAUAAAUUUCUAAUAAGAAUUACUUCAACGCACAGUUGCUUCCGUCGCCGCAUAAACUUUAACUAUCUCCUUAACACGUAUUUCUUAAUCACCGAAUAAUUACGGCUUCGAUUGCGCGCAAAUUCUCCUGUAAGCAACCCUAAAACCAUUUACACUCGCUAGGGCAACCACUUCACGGAUCCGAUCGUUUCGAUGAAAAUUACAAAGAGCGGAGAUCAAGCAGCUAGGGUUUCGCAGAUCAAACCACACACAAAAAAAGGAGAGAGAGAGAGAGAGAGAGAGAGAGAGGGAUCGGAGGGUUGCGUACUCGCGUAUGGCGAGGGAGUUGAGGAUGGGGCGCUUGCGCGACUCGACGCACCAACCCUUGAGCACGAGACCGUUGCGGGCGUGGGGGAGCGGCUCCGCCCCCGCCGCUUUGAGAUCGCUCGCCUCCGCUCUGCCCCNACGAUCCACGUAUAAUUCUAACAAUCUCGUUUUUUUUUUAUUUUCCAUCUAAUAAUUUUAGAUUUUUCUAUUUUUCAUAUAAUCUACAUAUAAUUCUAGUAAAGAAGCAUAUUUCUUUUUUUUUUUUUCUUCUCUCUCUUUAUUUGGGAGUAAGAGUUGGUUUAGGCUUAGUUUGGUAUUGAUGUCAAUCUAAUACUGUCCGAUAGAAUGGAGUUCAAAAAAAAUAUAUAGAAAUAUGCUUCUGUUACGAUGGGACCGCAGAAAAUAUAUCAUAACCAACGCAAUAUGCGGAAUGCAAUAUUACAUACGAAAACAAACAAUAUAUUUUUCCAUCAUCGCCCAUCGUUGUUUAUCACCGCAAGUAACGCAAUUUUUUCGCAAUUCUAAACGAAACCUUAUGAAUCUUAUAAAUUCGUGAUCAAAGGAUCGGGUCUAAAUUUGGUUUAGUUUAAAUUUAAUCUAACCUGAAGAGUUUACUUUAGGACAUAUUUCAAAACAAAACACCGAAAGUAGUACUUUUACAAGGUGAAAUUUUAGUGAUUAUUUGAUUUGAUUUGCAAGACAAAUAUAAAAAUUAUUUUAUAAAAAUAGAUUAAAUAAAUAAAUUAUAAAUAAAUCUUAAUUAUUUUGACUUUGUGACCAAAAUAUUUAACAUACCACAUCAAAUUUACGAGGAUGGAAACCUGGGGAUGGGCGCUCGCAAUAGACGUACAGAUGGAUAGGACCAAGGGAAUAUGACUUUGAACUAAUUCGAUUUGAAGUCUAGUUUGGCGGAUUAGGUUCGAUUGGAGUAAGUUCUAUGCAAUCAUCUUCCAUCUACAUCAAAACAAACAACCAAACAGUAUCACUUUAUCCAUGCUCCAACUGUAUCUUAUCAUUUAACCAAUCCAAACACCCUCACUCGAAUACCUUUAUACAAAAUCUCUAUGUAUGUUAUAAUAUGACUUGCGUUGAAGUGUUUAUUACUUUGUCGUUGAUAAGAUGAGCAGACCACAACUCUUAAACAAAUAGCGUGUUUUGAGAUUAUGAAAAUGCCAUUCGAACAGUUUAAUGGUUCAUUGAGCCUCGUGUAUUUUUAACCCUUUUUCUUUUAUCGGACUCUCCAAUAACUUUGCCAUCAAUAUUUUUAUUACACGCAUUGAAACACUAGAUAGGAAGAAGAGCUCGCCCUUCCGAAGUGUGAUGAGAGGAGUUUGUGAGGUACCACCCGCGGCUGAAGAGGUUGAAUCACGACCAGGAGAGAGAGAGAAGAUGGAAAAAUAUGCGAAAUGUAAAUGUCAUAUUUGAUAAAGGGGGUGCGAAUGUUCUUAGCUUCCGGUUCUCAUUCCAUUAUGUUUGAGAUCGCUUCCAUGAUGAUUGAUUAUGGACUUGUGUUAUUUGUUGCAGGUAAGCUCGAACUAGUAAUAUAUUUGGAGGUUGGGGCAAAUGCUACACUAGUAAGUUCUCGGGUUCAUUUGACAUACUUGAAUUUCAAAAUUUAUUGUUGAAGGCGAUACAUUUAAUCGAAUCAGUGUGGCGAAAGAUGAACCGUCCAUGAAGUUUGAGUAGCAUCACACCGAGCAUUAGAUGUGCUAGUUAGGGAUUUCAUAAAGUUCAAUUUUUUGUUAAAUUAGCUUCGUUUGAUUCGGAUAUAAAUAAGAACUGUUUAUUUCGGAAAUAUGUAUAAGUUAAAUAUGAAAUAGAUCAAUUUUACGUUUAGAUAAAAAUUGAGUUGUUUUCAUAAAUAAAAUAAAUAACGCUUUGAUAGAUAAGAUGAAAUAAGAAGAAUAGUUAAUAGUUAUAAAUAGAAAAUAAUGAUAUUACUCUGAUAUUAUAUUCGAAUUUUAAAUUUUUAAAUUUUAUAUUUGAAUUUUUAAAAUUAAAUAUAUAACUUUUAAAAUUAAAAAAUUCAGAAAUAAAUUUUAAAUUUUAAAUCUCAAAUUUCAAAAUUUAAAGUUCUAAAUUUUAAAUUUAAGAUUAAAUUUAAAUUUUAAAAAAAUCUAAAAUAUCAAAAUUUAAAUUUAAUAAAUUUAAAAUAUUAAUUUUUAAUUUAAAAUUUAAAAUUUAAAAUUUAAAAUUUAAAAUUUAUAAAAUUUAAUUUUAAAAUUACAAAUUACAAAAAUUUUUUAAAAUUAAAUUUAAAUUAUUUUUAAAAUUAA
rnacentral:lncRNA from 1 species